ensembl:rRNA 5S_rRNA 5S ribosomal RNA
AUCUACUGCCAUAACACCCUGAAUGUGCCCAAUCUUGUCUAAUCUUAGAAGCUAAGCAGGGUCGGGCCUGGUUAGUACUUGGAUGGGAGAAAUAACCUCCAAAAGAAAGUAGCUC